GAUGAACGCUGGCGGCGUGCUUAACACAUGCAAGUCGAACGGAAAGGCUCCUGCUUGCAGGGGUACUCGAGUGGCGAACGGGUGAGUAACACGUGGGCGAUCUGCCCUGCACUUCGGGAUAAGCCUGGGAAACUGGGUCUAAUACCGGAUAGGACGAUGGUUUGGAUGCCAUUGUGGAAAGUUUUUCGGUUUGGGAUGAGCUCGCGGCCUAUCAGCUUGUUGGUGGGGUAAUGGCCUACCAAGGCGUCGACGGGUAGCCGGCCUGGGAGGGUGUACGGCCACAUUGGGACUGAGAUACGGCCCAGACUCCUACGGGAGGCAGCAGUGGGGAGUAUUGCACAAUGGGCGCAAGCCUGAUGCAGCGACGCCGCGUGGGGGAUGACGGCCUUCGGGUUAUAAACUCCUUUCGCUAGGGACGAAGCGGAAGUGACGGUACCUGGAGAAGAAGCACCGGCUAACUACGUG
rnacentral:rRNA from 1 species